GGGACAGUUAACUAUAGACUCAAGACCAGAUCUUCUGUGGAUGUAAGCCAGCAUAGUCACCACUGAGGUCAGCUGAGCAGAAACAGCUUGUGAAUUUAUCAUAGGAACUAUAGGAAAAUUCUCAUUGGAAGGGACCUCCUGCAGGAGGCCUCAGGUCCAACCUCCUGCUCAAAGUACGGCUAGCCCUAAGGUCAGAACAAGUUGCUCACGGCUUUUUCCAUUUGGGUUUCGAAAGAUUUCAAGGACAGAGGUGGCACUGUCUUUUGGAACAAUUAAGUCCACUGCCUGGCUGUCCUCAUGGGCAAAAGCUUCUCUUUAUGUCCAAUUUGAACCUCUCUUCUUCUACUUGAGUUCACCAUCUCUCACCUUCCGCCUGUGCAGUGCCUUGAAGAGAGUGGCUCCAUCUUCCUGAUGGUUCUCCUAGAUGCUGGGGGGCUUUUAUUUCCUUCUGAACCACUUCUUCUCCAGUCUGGGUAAGAGCAGCUCCCUCCUGUGCCUCAUGCUCCAUGUGCUGUCUCCCUCUGUGUCAUCUCUGGAAGAAAACUUGGAUAUUCUUGAGUGACUAUGAUUCCUGAGCUUCCACUCUGGGACAGCGGAAAGAUGAACAGUGGAAAGACCCAUCAAAAGAUGGCCAUGGUGUGUUCAACUCUUCUCCAAAGAGGAGCGUGGAGACUGCAGCCUCUACACCAACAAAGCUACAGUCCAUCACUUGUCACUUCUGCAAGUUUAGGAUUUCAGGCACACAAAAAAAAAAAUACACUGAAAAAAAAAAAAUCCAAAUUUUUUGUCCAAAACUUUGCCAUGCAAUUGGUGAGACCAAAACCAAAAAGCAGCUGCAGCAGACGAUGUAUCUGCUGGCAUAACAAAAAAAGAAUUAAUGCUGAAAGUAGCAAAAAGAAAACCAGAGCACAGGAUUCUGUACAUUCUACUUUAGGAACUGAAGAUGAUAAGAGGCUUUCAGAGCUCCGGGACAGCAUUUCUGGCAUUACUAUUAUCAUUGAACAUUUUGUAUGAAGUAGUUACAGCAGACUGGAGGAGAACGGGUCAAGGGUUGCAAAUCUUGCUGUCAGUACUGCGGCCCUGCUCCUGCUUCCAGUGAAGAGAAGAGGACAUCUCCCGAGGCACACUGGUGAAAAUAUAUGAGUUGACACUUUAAAAAUUAAGCCUCCUGGAAUUGCUGUGUCGAUUAUUAUCCCAGAGACAGCUUAAGCGAUUUGCGCACAGUCACACAGUGAAUUGGGGCUGCGCCAGGAAUAGAAGACAGGGCUCCUGGUCCCUGGUCUUGCUCUCUUAUUCACAUCCCCAGAUAUGCCAUAAUCCACAUGGGGAAGAAAAUCCAAAAUCAAAGAUUGAUCUUACUUCCUAAGGCAGCUGCCUACCACUCUGCAGCACAGAUAUGGAGUCAAAUGUUCGUGCUCUGGCUGAGCCAUAUAACCCAUUGAUUUCAAAGGAAUCACUCACCUGAUGGCUUUUGGCUUCACAGUACUCAACAAAUCAUUCAAAUCCUUAGAGCAUCAAAGUUUGCUGGGAGAAGAGUCUGAUAGGUAGUCUACAAUUGGUGGCUUGAGCGAUUUCAGCUAAAUCUAUCAUAUAAAAUUACAGUCGUGUGCUACUAAUGGGUUCUUCACUCAUUAACAUGCAAAGGAAAAUAACUUUGCUCAAGCUCUCGGUAUCACCUGGCUGCGUGUAGCAGAGAGGUUAAAUACAGAACAGACCAUACUUGUAAGAAGAUUAAUGCAUACAACAGGGAUAGCAGCGGGCUUCUGCUGGCUCUAAUCUGGUAUUUGACUGGGACAGGGAGAGAGGGAAGGAAACUCUAAGCCAGUUAAAGUAGUGGAUUAUUGAUGACAGAGGAUUCACAGCUGAUAGGGAAACUGGAGUGAGCAGGCAGCAAGGCUGAAACACAGGGCAGCACACAAAGCAAAAAGAAGACACUGGAUUUAGACACAAGCUGUCUAUCAGUAUCUAAAGGAGGACUAUAAGAAAGAAGGAGACAGACUGCAUAGCAGGGUCUGAUGUGAUAGAACAAGGAGAAAUGGUUUCAAACUGAGGCAGGGGGAAGAUUCAGACUGCAUAUAAGAAAAGAAGUAUUUUCCAGUGAGGGUGAUAAGGCACUGGCACAGGUUACCCAGAGAGGUGGUGGCUGCCCCAUUCCUGGGCGUAUCUAAGGUCAGAUUGGACAGAGCUCUGAGCAACCUGAUCAAGUUAUAGGUGUCCCUGCUUGUUGCAGGGGAGUUGGGCUACAUGAUUUUUAGGGCUCCUUCCAACUUAAACAAUUCUAUGAUUCUAUGAUUUUACAAGAGAAGGUCUAACACACGUGAAAGAAAACUGGUUGGAACAAUGAUAUGAGCUUUCAAAGAGUACAGGACUGGGGAGCAGUAAAAUUACAUCUUACGUAUAAAGGUAAAAAAAAAAUCACACCAAGCUCCUUGAAGAGGGAUUUGAAUUUGGCCGAGUAAAUGAUCCGAGAAGGGAAAAAGUCUUGCAAGACUUCCCUGCCUUCUUCUGCUCAGAUAAACACUGGGUGGAGAACAGCACUGCAAAUCACUAAUAAUUACACAAACUCUGGCAAAGGCAUCCAAGUAGAUAAUGUUAUCUUGGGAAACAGGCAGCUGGGAGUGGGCUGGGGUUGCAGAGACCUUCUGCACCACAGCUGCUAAUCAGGAUAACCCCUGGCAGUCAUUUUGAAUGAUGGAUAAUUUGAAAGAAAUCGACUUUGUGAAAGUUCUGGAGCAAUGUUUAGUAGGGACAUUUGAUUCUUUUUGUUUGAUCACUCAGCUCUGAGCAGCACUCCAUGGUAUCAAGAAUAGGUGACAGCUUUGAAGGGAGGAGUGGAAGCCAGUUACCUCCACCGGCAAGCAGUUUGGCACAGCAGAAUGGUAAACUCACAGUUGGGAAUAGUUUUCCUAUUAUACCUGGUGGACUGGGAGGAACUGUUAAUAUAAUUUCUUUAGUAUACUUCUAGGCAAUAAAAUCAUUGCACUUCCAGGGUUUCUGUCCUGGGUUAGAUUUUGUUAAAACCAGCACUGCUUGUACUUCUUAGCUUAUAAAUUUGUUCCUGUACCUUCUUUGUCUGUCUCACAGAUCCUGGCGAAGCUACAGGUAUGACUGAGCUGGCGUCUGUCUUCCAAGUUGUUGAUAUUUUAGUAUGAAUUUCCAUUUGGGGUGUGAAUAGGACAACUUGCCUGUAGUGAUGUGUUAAAAAAUCAUACUACAGCGUAGGUCAUGAUUAAGUUACAGUAAAAUUACAGACUGUCUAGAAGAAAAUGAGCAAUCUCAGCUGUGAAUACUGUAGAAUGCAUUAUCUCCCAGAUUUAUUUAUUUAUUUCAGUACUGCCUGUUUAAAAUUCUGCAGGGCUCCUUGAGCUGUAUAGGUGCUAAUCUAAGUCUGAAAAGGAAAAAAAAAAUGUAUGUUGAAUUGUAUUUGUGCAUAGAAUUUGCAAAAUGAGACUGGAUUUUGAUUCACUUAUUUUUGUUGAGACAGUCAGUACUGCUAAUAGUUUAUUCUUCAGAAUAAGUUAAAGAAACUAAAAUUUAAAUGGCUUGGAAGCCUGAUUUCCAUUUCGACAAUGGCUUUCUUAACGUACAGCCUUCUACUGAUUUUCUUAGGGAAAUAUAUUGGCUCUGUAGGUACUACAGUUUAAAAGCAACUCAUUUUCUUUUAUCUUUAAUCAAUUUGUAAUCAACUUAGAUACACAGAAAUAAACUAGGUUUAGAGACUUAAAUGUUUAUUGAGCAUCCACAUGUCUAGCUAUUUGCCUAUGCUGCCUUAAAGCUACAUGUGUAGGUAAACUACCCUGAGAUGUGUGUAGCCAAAUGCUGGUGUUUUUUUGAGCAUCCUAACUACAGAUGCCAUUUGUCUGCUAGCUUGCUCCAUGGCCUGGUGUGGAGCUGCUGCAGUUGGAAGAAGAACCCCACCUCAUCACAACCUCAUUUCAGGUCACUAUAGGGAGUGAUAAGGUCUCAGCUGAACCUCCUCUUUUCCAGAUUGAACAAUCCCAGUUCUCUCAGCUGCUCCUUGUAGCACUUGUAUGCGUAAGAUAUACUCCUAAAUUUAGUAUGAAUAAGAAACCGCCAAAUUUUGCCCUUCUGGGAGCUCUUAUAAGCUAUUGUUCAUUGCUCAUGAUCCUCUCUUGGUUGGAAGAGACACAUAACCUUAGAGAUUACCUCUUGAGCAGUGGGGGGUCUGGGGCCACCAGAGGCAUGGUAGCACAAAAUAAGUGAUGACAGGAACAGUAAAAUCAAAAUUCUCAUCUUUUUGUGUAUGAGCAUGAAGUUCAUUGACAAAUUAAUAGAGCCUUCCAGUUGGUCAUCAACAAGCUGAUGGUAUUUGUUGAACAUUUACUCUAAAGGGUUCAGUGCCUGAGCGCAGGCCAUGUCCCUCUUAUUUAGAAAUGCAGACGCUCUCUCUGAGGGCCAGAGGUGCUGGGAAGGUCCAUGGCACCUGGAAACCAGCACAGGUAGCUUGGUUGCCAGGAGAAUGCUAAAACAUACAUUGGGAUGCACGCAGCUCGCUUGCAACCUUUUGGCUCUCGAUGCCCGCAAAUAUUGACUCCCUGUUGCCUGCAACAGGAACAGUGGGAAAGGCUAAAUCAAUUGUUGUAAUUGUCACGGUCCCCCAAGACAGACAAGUGUGUACAGCAGGAAUUAAGUAUAGUAGGUAAGACCUGGGUGGCUAUAAGUAAAACACAACCUCUCCAGCUUUGCCAAUGUCAUAAAAGGUGCAAUUGUACCUGGGAUCUGCACAGUAUAUGAUGCUGGGCCACUGUUAGCAUUUUCCUGGUUGAGUCAUGGGCAUAUCUACAAAAGGGAAGAGCUACCCAUCCCUGCUAGGGAGAUGGAAAGCAGGCUGCUGAGCUCUCUGUCCACAGCUUGUGUGGUCACUGCUGAGUUUGGGUGGCAUUUGGAAUGCACUGGGGGGGGCUGGCUUAUACCUGAGACUGUAGCUGUGCCCACACAUCCUUAGGGAACUUUGAAAUAGCAGAGAUAAUGUCAGCCCAGUUACCAUAUGCUUUCAGUCUGCCCGGGCAAUGAUUGUAUAAUAAUCCCUAACAGAAAACUGAAGACGAGAUUUCAAGUGGCUGCCAGAAAACAGUUUUUCACUUAGAGUGGCAACUCUGAAUAAGGAAGCAUCUGGCACAUUUGAUCAGACAAAGAAAAUUAGGUCACUCAGAAAAAUAUUUGAUGUUCUUCCUGAGGAACAUAAUGCUAAAAAUGCCUCUAUCUACAAUGGCAGUAUUCUCUUCUUCAGCACUGUUUCUCAUAUUAUUAUGUUUUGUGUUGUUCUGAGUGACUACACUAUAUUUAGUAUCUGUUAAAUAGCAGAAUAUAGAUUAUGUAACUUAUUAUUUUCCUCCUGCCAGUAAUUGGAGUUUAAAAGCAAAGAGGGUUUUGUUGGACGUGUUCUUUUUUUUAAAGGAUUCAAGGACUGUUGGAUGCUUCUAUACGGUUUUUAAAGAAUCACAUUUUGAAUGAAAAAGAAGGUAAAUGAUCUUCUGCCUCUUGCCUUUUUUCUCUUAGCUUUAAGCACAUCUCACUUAUCUGUGAGUCCUGGACAGUCAGCAGAACAGUGCUUCACCUCAAGGGUCCCACAAGCAGUGGGGGAAGCUACUACACAGCUCCUUGUUGGAGCGGGGGGAAAGGGGCUGCAGGAUGAUCCUACUGUGUGUGAAUAUGCAGGAGGAAUGGCUCAGUAAGGCACAGAGUAAUAUUUCAGCUGAAUAUUUUCCUCCUGGGGACCAAGUACUCAGUCUGUCCCAGGGAAGGGCCUUCCUGAGAUACAGGAUGUUGGCUAGUUUGGAUGGAGCCCUGCGCAGCCUGUUCUAGUGGGUGGCAGCUGUGCUCGUGGCAGGGGAUUGAAACUCAGUGAUCUUUAAAGUCCCAUCCAACCUAAGCCGUUCUGUGAUUGAUUCUGUGAUUCUGUGUUCAGAUCAACUGGGGGGAAUGAGUACUGGUGUUAAAAGCACUGAGUUGCCAACCUCAUGUGUGGCUUGCAGUCUGACUUCUCAUGGAAAAAACACGUAUCUCCAGCAAUUUUUCUCCAUUUAGUUUACUUCCAAGAAUGUCUCCUCAAAAGAAGAAACCCAGAGAUAUUUUUUCAAGGAAAAAGUGCGGUUAAUUAAUCUCAAUUUUUCCAGCUUCCUAAAACCAGGAAUGGAAGCAGUGACCACAGAUUUUUCAGACCCUACAGACAAACUCCAGUCUGAUUUAAUGUCGAAGAACAUCACUAUUCCUACAUUAAUCUUUCCAGCUGGUAAAUGAAUCAGUUUUUGUGGCAUUUUCAUUUGAUCAUGAAGACUUCAGGUAACUGAAAAGGAGCUCCAAAGCUGCUAUCCUUCUCAUAUUUAUUACAGUAUGGCACAAUGACUGGGAUAGUUACUACAAGCCUAUGACUCUUCAGCUACUAUAUAAAGAACUGAAGUACUUGCAUAAUAGAUAUAAAAAGUGGACAUGAUUUUCAAAAUAGUUUACGCACAGAAAUGGAUGUGUCCUCGCUCCCUGGUAUAUUUAGUGUUGUGAAUUUUAUCAGCAGAUAAAAGAAACGUUUGUAAAGCAAAGAACUUACCCAAGGUCAAGGAGUAAAUUAAAACAAAUGGUGAAUUAACCUUCAGGAGAUUUCUGGCACUUAAUCAUAAACUUAGUUCAUUGGUCCUGCCUCUUCCAGAUUCUCUCAUUCAGCCUUUAAUUUUGUGCAAAGGCUCUACUGCCCUCAUAAAUCAUCAGUGAAAAAAUGUUGAGAGGCUUCCUUACUUCAACAGCCUCAAAAUAGAGUUCUAGCUUGAAAUGAUACUUCUGGGAGUGCGCUAGUACAAAGAACCCAGCAUAAGAUGAGGCUGAACAAAACAUUGUCUCAGCUUCUCAGCACUCAUCCCAGUCUGGAAGAGCUUCUUCACCGUGUGCUUGUUUUCCUUCUUUCAGACUAAUUGUUUUAUUCAAGCCAAUCCUAAUUCAGAUGAGUUAAUGUACUUUCUCCUUCUACACAUAAAGGUGCAUAGGCAGGUAAAUACCUGCUUGCGUUUGUCCGUUGUGGAGUCAGGUCUAGUUAGCACCAGAGAGGGUUUGUCAGAAUGGGUACAUCCAUGUGAUGACAAGAUCUCACACCAUAACCACAGCUUUUUACCUGGAAGAAGUGCUUUUUGGUUCUGAUCACAUAUCUGGUACAAACUCUAUUGGCAAAAGCACAUUUUUGCCUCUGGGAGCUGUAAAAUGACUAGGAGUUUUACUGAUAUUUGUUUUUAAUCAGAAGAAUGUCUUGAACCUGCACUUUAUACCAAUGGCCAUUAAUACUGUAGCUUUGGACAGAAUCCUAGUGUUUUGCUACAGCUCCCAGAGAAUACAGCACCAAAAGAAAAUGAAUUUUAUUCCUUAUUCGUUGUUCCUUUACCAAAAACAACGAUAGCAACAACAAACCAUUUCUUUUGUAGCACAGAAAUAUUUUAUUUCUUUCUUCUAUUCACCAGAAACCCUGCAAAAAUGCAAGUCCAGGGAGCAGAUGUCAGCUAAUCCCAAAGUCUGUGCUAGGAACAUGAUGGUAACUCUUAGGGAGUUCAACAGAAUCUAAAUGUCUCUCUGGUUUUGUACAAGAUUAUGCUCCCAGCAGAUAAGCCCCUGCAUUUUAACUUGGAAGCUCGAAAGGGAUAAAUAACAUCUCUGAAGCCAGCCAAGCAACAAACAGAAUUUCUUAGUACAAUACAAUCUUGUUAUGGGAGUUUUCUUUGGCACACGUUUCCCAUCAGGCAUUAUUAUGCUGCUGUGUACAUGGGGCUUAUCUCUAAGCAAAGGUGGUAAUACUCAGCCAUUGAUACCCUGCAACUCAUUGAAGUUUUAAGAUGGAUGAGGAAGGAUUAGGUGAGCCAUUUGAUACAUAGCUGAUACUUACUAUAAAAGUUUAAGGAUCUGACAUCACUAUUUGUAAUAAAUGUUCUUGCUGUGCUAGAGUGUGUAUGUGGCAGGUGGGGAGAGGUAGAGGUGUCAUGUAGGUAAGCAAGAGAACUCUAAAUCACUCAUAAUCAAUAAUUCACUGUGCAGAAAAAAAAAGGUAACAGACAACGUCAGCUGAUGGAAUACUGCUUUGGUUACAUUUUCUUUUGUGUCCCUGAUGAAAGGUUUUUAACUCUGUCUUAACAGAGAGAUUUGCUUUCUGUAGGGACAUUCAGCUCCAGGCAAGAUAGAAGGAUGAUCCCAAACCCAGUAACUGGGUCAAGUCUAAUUAUCAUAGCUAAUUUGCACAUUUCAUUUAUGGUAAAGGAAAUUUUGUCUUCAGGUAGGUGAAUCCAAUUUGGAUUAUCAAAGACAGACUGAAAUAGCUUCUAAACAGAAGGUAGAAGGUCUUUUGCUAGACUCUAUGUCUGAAAUAUGAAGGCAGUAUUAAAACCCCCAUUCUGAACCAAAUUCAACAUAAAAUUAAACAAACUUUCACAAGCAAUGACACUAAUUUCCAGUGUCCAAAACUGAUAGUUCCCCUCUUGUCAGAAAUGCCAAAAAGUCAACAUAUCUCUAAACCCUCAGGAAAAGAAUUGGAAUUUCCUCCUCCUUUUUUGUGCAGAACAGUAACACAAGGUAUUUUCUUACAAAUUUAACAACUUACUCUACUUAGAUAUAUCACCUUGGGUUAGGGCAAGCUUAAAAUGUCAACAGUAAGUUAUUUUGACUCAUAAUCUGGUUUAUUACAGAUAUUCAAAGCAUUUCGGUAUGUUCUACUCUGAAAUAAAAGUCCAAGUAGUAUCACCAGUACUGAACAUCCUGUGUCAAUGGCAAAAAAAAAUUAGCUAUCAUCAUCCGUAAAUGGGACCGAUAAACUAAUCCAACCUUGGAGAACAUUAUUGGUUUUCUUGAUUCAGCAUUUCCAUUUGGAAAACAGCUUUGCUGGAUUUUAAAAGAUGUUUUUCAUCACCUGAAGCUGGAGACGGAAUGGCUAUUCAUCAGUGAAUUUUUUGCACUCUCUUUACGUUGCAUUAAAAGCAGCCCAGACAUCUGAAAAAGCAACAGAAACUCUCAUGAAGAAAAUGAAUUUAAACUUUUUUUUUUUUGAUACAGUAGAAAGCUUUUUUUUUGUUUUUCUUUAAUAAUCAAUUUCUUCAAUAUACUUUCCUAGAGUACAGGUUUGUUCCCAGUCUGUCUUCUCUGUCUUCCUGCUUGGAUAACUACUAAACUCAAAGCCCCUCAUAAAAAUGGACACAGCUGUAGAGUGGAAAUUUUAAACAUUUUGGUAUUUAGUAUCAUCAAAUAGAUUUACAAAAAUAAAUAAAUAAAUAAAUAAAAUCCAGUGCUCUUGGAUAAGCAAAA